rnacentral:lncRNA from 1 species
UUUUAUUGUCAUAAAUAUAAAUAUUAAAUAGAACAAACUUCUAACAAGACAUAACAAAUAUAAAAUACCCAUAAUACCCAGAGAGUGAACUUUUUUUCUUGCUUUUUUGUGUGAAAUUUUCACAGUUGCUGUGCGAAGCAUCAACAUUCUGAUGCUACAAUUAGUUGUUUUCCAUGAGUCAUUGCUCGCCGAUGGUAUCCCGGAUCGGAACGUUUUCUAAGUCAGUCGCUUCUCCUGAUCCUGGUUGAUUCUCCUUCUGAUCAGCCGUGAGCUGGUUCAUCAGUGGCGGGCAUGGGAGUAGUAGUAGAGUCAUCAUCUACGCAGACGCAAGUCGUCUUCCGCUCGGUGGUCGUUGAGAUUUCUUCGGUCGUUGACGUCGUUUCCGGAGUUGUGGUGGUCUCUUCGGUUGUCGUGGUCUCUUCGGUCGUCGUGGUCUUUUCAGUUGUCGUAGUUUCUUCGGUUGUUGUGGUCUCUUCGGUCGUCGUGGUCUCCGGAGUGGUUGUCGUUUCUUCUGUCGUUGUGGUUUCUUCGGUCGUUGUAGUCUCCGGUGUUGUUGUAGUUUCAACGGUUGUUGUCGUUUCUUCAGUAGUAGUAGUUUCUAAUGUUGUGGUUGUAGCUUCCGUCGUUGUAGUAUUAGUUUUCACACAUACGCAGGUUGUUUCAUCAUCUUCAGUAGUAGUUGUGCUUUCAGUGGUUGUAAAUGUUGGUUUUGUAGUAGUAGUUUUUGG